AUGGCCCAGAUUUCUCUUCUCCUCAUCCUUGUCACUUCCUGCACUGGUGCACUUUCCCAGUUCAUAUUGGCUCAGCCACCUUCCUCAUUGGUAUCCCCUGGAGAAACAGUGAAGAUCCCCUGUACCAGGAGCAGUGGUGGUAUCAGAGACAGCUACAUAUCCUGGUACCAACAGAAACCUGGCACUGCUCCCAAACUACUGAUAUAUCGAUUCAGCAACAGAUACACGGGAAUCCCAGACCGGUUCUCUGGCUCUACGGACACUUCUGCCAAUUCUGCCACUUUAACCAUCUCCAAUGUUCAAGCAGAGGAUGAGGCUGAUUAUUACUGUUUAUCUUAUGUUGGUGGUGGUAGUCAAUGCACAGUGGUACAACCUCAUGGGGGAAGUGAGACAAAAACCUCCUUUAGCAAUUGGCUGUGGGUCACAGUUGGUUGAGUUAAAAGUUGGGGUUAUACAAUAGCUCUGUAAAAUUCCUUUCAACAACGCUUUUAUUAUAACCACAAUCCUAAGUAAGUGAUCUUCAAAAAA